rnacentral:piRNA from 1 species
UGUGUGCUUACCUGUAGCUUAGCUCCC